UUUAAUUUCAUUUCACUUUUUACCAACCAAUGACGUGACAUGGAUGCAUUGUUCAAGGGCAAGAAACACAAUCAAACUCGAUUCCUGAUUGCUGGUGGUGAUCAAGGCUAAUGCUUCAUAUUGCGCUCAGUUGCUCCACCUCUUCUCACCCUGCCCUCAGGUGAUUGGGGAGAUUUUUAUCUGAGCUACAUAUGUUUCCAGCUGAUAAAAAAAUAUAGUAUAUUCUUCUGGGACUCUUUUUAUAAACCAAAUCUUCCAUUUCCAUGCUAUUAUUAUGCAGAUUUCAGAUUCUGACAGACCUCAUUCCUCAAAAUGAUCAGAAAAGAUACUGUUUCUUUCUUGUUGGAGUUCUUUUAUUCUUGCUGCUGUAUAGAACCUUUCUUGUAGUUUUCUAAGCUUGAAUAUUACUUUAGUAAUCUUUCUGAGCUUCAAUAUAACUUUAGUAGUCUUUAGUA